rnacentral:rRNA from 1 species
GGAGAAGGCUAUGUUGGCCGGGCGACGGUUGUCCCGGUUUAAGCGUGUAGGCUGGUUUUCCAGGCAAAUCCGGAAAAUCAAGGCUGAGGCGUGAUGACGAGGCACUACGGUGCUGAAGCAACAAAUGCCCUGCUUCCAGGAAAAGCCUCUAAGCAUCAGGUAACAUCAAAUCGUACCCCAAACCGACACAGGUGGUCAGGUAGAGAAUACCAAGGCGCUUGAGAGAACUCGGGUGAAGGAACUAGGCAAAAUGGUGCCGUAACUUCGGGAGAAGGCACGCUGAUAUGUAGGUGAAGUCCCUCGCGGAUGGAGCUGAAAUCAGUCGAAGAUACCAGCUGGCUGCAACUGUUUAUUAAAAACACAGCACUGUGCAAACACGAAAGUGGACGUAUACGGUGUGACGCCUGCCCGGUGCCGGAAGGUUAAUUGAUGGGGU